rnacentral:rRNA from 1 species
UACGUAGGGUGCGAGCGUUAAUCGGAAUUACUGGGCGUAAAGCGUGCGCAGGCGGUUAUUUAAGGCCGAUGUGAAAUCCCCGGGCUCAACCUGGGACCUGCAUUUGUGACUGUAUAGCUAGAGUACGGUAGAGGGGGAUGGAAUUCCGCGUGUAGCAGUGAAAUGCGUAGAUAUGCGGAGGAACACCGAUGGCGAAGGCAAUCCCCUGGACCUGUACUGACGCUCAUGCACGAAAGCGUGGGGAGCAAACAGG